UACGGAGGAUGCAAGCGUUAUCCGGAAUGAUUGGGCGUAAAGGGUCCGCAGGUGGCAGUGUAAGUCUGCUGUCAAAGAAUGAGGCUUAACCUCAUCAAGGCAGUGGAAACUACACAGCUAGAGUACGGUCGGGGUAGAAGGAAUUCCUGGUGUAGCGGUGAAAUGCGUAGAGAUCAGGAGGAACACCGGUGGCGAAAGCGGCAUCCUGGACCGAGAUUGACGCUGAGGCGCGAAAGCCAGGGGAGCAAACGGG
rnacentral:rRNA from 1 species